GCAGCCCAGCAUCUCCCACGGUCGCCAUACUGCAGUCCACGGACAAAGACGAGGGAGAGCAGACAUGGCCGAUCACCACGGUUACUCGAACGGAUACAACAAUGGCCAUGGAGACAGCAAAACCAAAUU